rnacentral:lncRNA from 1 species
AUUGAACCUCUGACACUCUGAAUCGCACGCCUCAGCUCCAGACUUUUUCUAGAGCCACUCUGCCUGCAGCUCUUGUGGUUUGGUCUGGGUUUUUUUUUUCCUCCCCCCUCAGCAUUUGUUCUUUCCACUCUGUUUGUGCCACCUCGGUGAAAUUUCAGUUCAUUUUUUUUGCCUCGGUAUAGGAGAAAGUGCUGGUGACUGCUGAGGGCUCCUUUCCCAAUUCCAUUCCAAAUCCAAACGCUUCCAACCCUUCCAAAAACGUGCUGAGCCCUCAUCCCCACCUCGGGAUGAACACCCAGCAAAUCCCAGAUUGCUGAAGAGAAAGGAAAAUCCGGCUUGGAAGCCCCUCUGGAAAGGGGCCAAGGCACAAUCCCAAGGUGUGGGGGUGAGAAGGGCAGCGUCGCCCUCGGAGCUGGAUGGAGCAGGAGCUGCUCCCACCCUCUCACACCCAGCUCCUGCUUUUCCAGCCCUGAUUUUGAACCAGCUGAAGGAAAACACUUGCAGGCAGCAAAAACAGUGCUGGAAAGCUGUGUCUGCUGAGGGUGGGAACGGCUGGGAGCUCCUCAGGGGCCGAGGAUUGGUGGGAUUGUCACCGAGGAUUGGUGGGAUUGUCACUGAGGAGCUUGGGUGGGGUGGGAUGACCCUGCUGUGGGUCUCUGAGGGUGCUGCUGGAUGGGUCAGGACAAACACAGCGUUUUUGGGGGGCUGCCCUUGCCUGGGCUUCUCCUCUCCCAGCAGCAAAGCCCCAAAGGCUGCUGAUCAGCCUCGCUCCUUUGUUUUAGUGGAGCCCAGGUGGGAAUGCUGGAGCAGCCGUGGAAGCUCUGGCUGCAGGAAUGAGCCUCACCAGGUGCCCCGUGUGCCCCAGGCUGCUCCUUUGCUUCAGCUGCUUGGUGGGACCCCAUCUCUGCCUGAUUUCCAGGUGAAAGCCUCUGGAGCUUCCUGAGGUCUCUCCAGGGAGCUGUGGGAAUGCUGCUUCCUUCAAUCCCAUGGGAUCCAGAGCCUCUGAGGAGAAAGGAGCCAGAGAUCACCUCCCCUCAGGGCACUGAGAGCAGCACAGCUUUGAUCCCUGGAUGGGCCCUUCAUGAUCCUUGUGUGUCCCUUCCAGCUGGGAAUAUCCCAUGGUUGUCCUUAGGGAAUAAUCCUGGGAUUGCUGCCCACAGAUCAGGGGAAGCUCUGCAGCCUGGGGGUUUCCCGAGGGACACCAGGAACGCCCUGAGCAGUGGAAGGGGCUCCAGGAAGCUCCACAUGGAUCCAACCCCAUCCCGCGGCUCCUGGAAGCUCCUCACGGAUCCAACCCCAUCCCGCGGCUCCUGGAAGCUCCUCACGGAUCCAACCCCAUCCCGCGGCUCCUGGAAGCUCCUCACGGAUCCAACCCCAUCCCGCGGCUCCUGGAAGCUCCACAUGGAUCCAACCCCAUCCCGCGGCUCCUGCAGGAUCCGGCUGGGCCUUGGUGCUGCAGAAUUACGGAACGCCCGAGGCUGGAGAAGACCUCUGGGGUCACAUCCAGCAGCACACAAACUGCUCUGGGCUUGGCACUAA